GACGAACGCUGGCGGCGUGCUUAACACAUGCAAGUCGAACGGAAAGGCCCUGCUUGCAGGGUACUCGAGUGGCGAACGGGUGAGUAACACGUGGGUGAUCUGCCCUGCACUUCGGGAUAAGCCUGGGAAACUGGGUCUAAUACCGGAUAGGAGCCAUUUUUAGUGUGAUGGUUGGAAAGUUUUUUCGGUGUAGGAUGAGCUCGCGGCCUAUCAGCUUGUUGGUGGGGUAAUGGCCUACCAAGGCGGCGACGGGUAGCCGGCCUGAGAGGGUGGACGGCCACAUUGGGACUGAGAUACGGCCCAGACUCCUACGGGAGGCAGCAGUGGGGAAUAUUGCACAAGGGGCGCAAGCCUGAUGCAGCGACGCCGCGGGGGGGAUGACGGCCUUCGGGUUGUAAACUCCUUUCGCUAGGGACGAAGCUUUUUGUGACGGUACCUAGAGAAGAAGCACCGGCUAACUACGUG
rnacentral:rRNA from 1 species